UACAGAGGUCUCAAGCGUUGUUCGGAUUCAUUGGGCGUAAAGGGUGCGUAGGUGGCGGGGCAAGUUUGGUGUGAAAUCCCGGGGCUCGAACCCCGGAACUGCACUGAAUACUGCCUUGCUAGAGCACUGGAGAGGGAACUGGAAUUUACGGUGUAGCAGUGAAAUGCGUAGAUAUCGUAAGGAAGACCAGUGGCGAAGGCGAGUUCCUGGACAGUUGCUGACACUGAGGCACGAAGGCUAGGGGAGCAAACGGG
rnacentral:rRNA from 1 species